rnacentral:rRNA from 1 species
AUUGAACGCUGGCGGCAUGCUUUACACAUGCAAGUCGAACGGCAGCGCGGGCUUCGGCCUGGCGGCGAGUGGCGAACGGGUGAGUAAUGCAUCGGAACGUGCCCAGUAGUGGGGGAUAGCCCGGCGAAAGCCGGAUUAAUACCGCAUACGACCUGAGGGUGAAAGCGGGGGACCGAAAGGCCUCGCGCUAUUGGAGCGGCCGAUGUCGGAUUAGCUAGUUGGUGGGGUAAAGGCUUACCAAGGCGACGAUCCGUAGCUGGUCUGAGAGGACGACCAGCCACACUGGGACUGAGACACGGCCCAGACUCCUACGGGAGGCAGCAGUGGGGAAUUUUGGACAAUGGGGGCAACCCUGAUCCAGCCAUGCCGCGUGCGGGAAGAAGGCCUUCGGGUUGUAAACCGCUUUUGUUCGGGAAGAAAUCCUCUGGGCUAAUACCCCGGGGGGAUGACGGUACCGGAAGAAUAAGCACCGGAUAACUACGU